GCAGUCAUGGCCGAAUGGUUAAGGCGAUAGACUAGAAAUCCAUUGGGGUCUCCCCACACAGGUUUAAAUCUUGUCGACUGCG
rfam:Ixodes scapularis strain Wikel colony gcontig_1108379502028, whole genome shotgun sequence.